AGGACGAACGCUGGCGGCGUGCUUAACACAUGCAAGUCGAGCGAUGAACCACUUCGGUGGGGAUUAGCGGCGAACGGGUGAGUAACACGUGGGCAACCUGCCCUCAGCUCUGGGAUAACUCCUCGAAAGAGGGGCUAAUACCGGAUACGACUUCCUGCGGCAUCUUGGGAAGUGGAAAGUUUUUCGGCUGAGGAUGGGCCCGCGGCCUAUCAGCUUGUUGGUGGGUAACGCCCACCAAGGCGACGACGGGUAGCCGGCCUGAGAGGGCGACCGGCCACACUGGGACUGAGACACGGCCCAGACUCCUACGGGAGGCAGCAGUGGGGAAUAGUUGCGCAAGUGGGCG
rnacentral:rRNA from 1 species